AAGCUCGUAGUUGAAUUUCGGGCCCGGUCGGGCGGUCUGCCUCACGGUAUGUACUGUCUGACUGGGUCUUACCUCUUGGUGAGCCGGCAUGCCCUUCACUGGGUGUGUCGGGGAACCAGGACUUAUACUUUGAGAAAAUUAGAGUGUUCAAAGCAGGCCUAUGCCCGAAUACAUUAGCAUGGAAUAAUAAAAUAGGACGUGCGGUUCUAUUUUGUUGGUUUCUAGAGUCGCCGUAAUGAUUAAUAGGGAUAGUUGGG
rnacentral:rRNA from 1 species